rnacentral:lncRNA from 1 species
CAUGAUUAUUACUGAUUAGAAUAUUUCAUGGUAUGUUUUGUGCCAAAGUUGGAACCAGUAGACAAAGGAAAGUAUACCAAAAAGGAGAAACAAGAAGGCCUUGUUGGUUGAGAUGGAGGACAGUUUGAAUUUUUAAAUGUUACCUCAGAAAUUUAUAGGUUAGGCUUUCGAUAGAGCAAAACAAAACUACUAAAAUGUUGGCCAAAGUUGGCACCAAAUUAAUAACUUACUGAUAAGGCAAAACUUGAAAGAUACAUAGAAGUCACAACCUCUAGGAGACAAAGAGUGUUGAGUGAGGCUAAGAAGAAUCUACUGGUAAAUGCGAGAAGAUGUAUUGGGCACAACAUGUAACUAUUAGAGGAAAUUUCCAAUAGUUGAAAAACUUUUUCCAGAAAACAUUGAAGGAAAAGAUAGGUCUAGGCAAAUGCUUCAUUUGAACAUUUCUUGUUUAAUUUGUGCCAAUGACAAAAACUAGCCACACGCCCACUAGGAGGGACAAGGUAGACAUUAAACAACUGUUCUCUAUUGACACAAAUGAUGCAUUAAAAAAUGAAGCAGACAAAAUAUUAUUUUGGAAUAAAAUAGUAGCAGAGAUAACCAUUUUACAACACUAAGGAUCCAGGGCCUUGUACACUCAAGGCAAGGGGUUUGCCAUCGAGCUACAUCCUUCACCCAAAGUUGACCAUUUUAUCUGGGUAGCCAGAGGAAAAUAAGUUGAUCCUUGUUCAAUAGGUGAAGAAAUUAUCCUUGUGAAUAUAUGAGAAGAAAGCACUCCAGACAGUGAAGAGUCUGAAGCCUUCCGCUAGGAUCAUACUUACUAUUUUAAGGACUGACAAGGAGGCCACUGGGCUUAGUGAGGCAGCAGGAAUGGAAAUGGGAGAGCAGAUGCACCAGGGAACAAGGUUCUGGGAUGGCUUAAUGGGUUGAGGAGGAGCUGUUGGCUGUGGCUUUAGUGCAGAAGCUGUUAGAGAGGUUUUGGAAGUACAGAGAUGUAGUGUAUAAGAUAGUACAGUCAGCAACACUCCCAACUGAAAAAAUAUUCCUCCUAAGUAAAGUGGUCAUGAUUAUGAAAGUAUGAUAUUUGGGAAUGGUAGCUGAGAGGAUCAGUUUACUUUUGAAAUAUUUGAAAUGCCCAUUAACUGUGCAAGAAGAGGUGUAGGUCUUUGGGUUUUAGGCUAAAGAGCAAUGUUCAGAGGAAAAAGAAAAGUGCUUUUUUGUCAAGGUUAUUUGUAGAUGCGUAGGCAAUGCCUAUAGCUAUCUGAGGAACAUUCCCCUAAAACUUUUAAAAUAAUGAAAACGAAUAUCCUGUGGUAGAGUAACUGAGUAUUUGUAAUAUAAAUGUGACAUCUCAAGUCAGUAAGCCCCUUUCUAUGGGGAAAUGGUACUCUGUCAGUACUGAGCUGUGUUUAGCAAAACCCAGAAGCAUGAAUGAGGAGAGUAAAUAUUCUGAGGUUUUGUAGCCCCUGAGAACAAAGGUGUGGCUUCUUGGAUGAUUAAGAGCGUUUGUUUCAGCACCGAGUCCAAGAACCACUGGUUCUUUAGAAAAGGCUUCCUAAUGUUUACAGAAGCACUUUGGACUAUUUAAAAAAAUUUUUAUUGAUAUUUUGGAGAUUUUAAAAAUAGGUCUAGAUGUUAUUUCCAAGUUAUUAAAUUGCAAAGCUUGAAAUUUUUGCUAGGUAGUAAGCUAGGUUUUCAGCCACAAAAGCACAAACCAAAGUAUUUUAAGUAAGAUUUUUCAAAAUAUUCUCCUAGUAGCACUUUUUUUUUCCCUAGAAAAAUAACCUUGGAAUUUUUGGUUAUGUUUUUAUAACUUUUAACCUUGUAAUUUAGCAAAGAGCAACUUUAGGAGAAAGCUCAGUUGUGUCAUAGUUUUGAAUUAUUAUGGCUGACUGUCAUUUUCCCCUACAGAGCCUUUUGUGCUAUUUUACUGUUUUGUGAGAAGUAUGUAAAUUGUUGGUGAAUGAGGGAGUCAGGGCACCACUGUCAGGCUUGUUCUUAAUUCACCUUGUAUCCAGAUCAAGUAACAGCAUCUGUAUCAAUAUAUCUGUUAUCUAUUAAUAAAGCCUAAUUUAAAU